AGUGUGCUGCAACACCACCACCUUGUGGGAGAAAUUUCGAUUGCAUCAACACAGUGGGAUCCUACAAGUGUGAAUGUAAGCCUGGAUACACACUGAACGCCCAAGGGAUUUGUCAAGACGUUGAUGAGUGCACUGAGCAAAGGCCUUGCAAUGAUGACCAGGUUUGCCAGAACAAUGAAGGAAGUUACAGUUGUGAAAACGUAACUACGGCAAAGCCAGAUGAGCCUCAAACCAAGGCAGAUACAGUGACACAUGGGGAUCCACAAACAGAACCAACACGAGUCUUUCUUACCGAUCAAAGUUCAAGUUCUUCCUUGCUGGAUGUGGGAGUUACCACAGUUUGUUUUUUCCUGGCGACUUAUUAUGUGGCCAUGUGAUAGGAAGAGUCACCACGUCCAGAAUUGUGCCUGAUACCAUGCACCUUUUCUGUUGUGAUCGUUAGCCAUAAAUUAUAAAUGGCUGAUGAUAUCGCCAACAUUUAAUGGUGAUCCCAUUAUAACGUCAUGAAGAUUUUUUUCGCUGUACCGGCACGUGUGUAUAAAUAUGAGCCUGCAUGAGCUUCGUUUCACUAUAUGUAAUGACUUUGAUCUUUUUGUCCAUACUCUAUUUUGUACAUAUACUCAGUAUUUUGUUGUACUAAAAUUUUACCACAGAGAAACAUGUAGUAAGUAUUGACUUUACAAAGACACGUGAAUGGUGUAGAUAAAAAAAAAUACAUGUAGGAGCAUACUGUACAAAGAUAAAUGUAGAUCUACACGGAGAACAAUAGCGGUACGUACAAGCCUGCAAGCAUGCGAACACCUUGUCUGUGUUUGAAGUAUUGAAUUACCUUCGAAUUAUGUACACCCCUUUUAGCUGUAACCGUGAUUCAAUACAGUGUAUAUGUAUCCUUAAGACCAAUGGUUAGAGCACCCCCAC